CUUUACGCAGCUUAACAGAAUGACUUUAAUGCUUCUUCAAGUUUUCCAUUUUCUUCCACAGGGCUUUGUUUCGAAAAAUAACAAAAUGAGGUAAUAAGUUAAUGUAAAGAAAGUGACUGCGGGGUGGCUGGAAAGAUUCGUCGUCCUGAGAAGUCGCGUGCUGGAGGUGGAGUGUGUCUAGAAGCAUUUGCGGUGGACGAUGGAAGGGCCGGCCUCGUCGUACUCCUGCUUGGUGAUCCACAUCUGCUGGAAGAGCGUCUCCGGGCAGCGGAAGCGCUCGUUGCCGAUGGUGAUGACCUGCCCGUCUGGCAGCUCGUAGCUCUUUUCCAGGGAGGAGGAGGAGGCGGCCGUCGCCAUCUCGUUCUCGAAGUCCAGGGCCACGUAGCACAGCUUCUCCUUGAUGUCGCGCACGAUCUCGCGCUCAGCUGCGGAGGGCAGAAGCAGGAGAGGAGCCCUCACUCAGGGGCCGCCGCCGGCCCUCCCGCCCGGGGUGCAGGGGCGCCGCGCACCUGUGGUCACGAAGGAGUAGCCACGCUCAGUGAGGAUCUUCAUCAGGUAGUCGGUGAGAUCGCGGCCCGCCAGGUCCAGGCGCAUGAUGGCGUGCGGCAGCGCGUAGCCCUCAUAAAUGGGCACGUUGUGGGUCUCAAACAUGAUCUGGGUCAUCUUCUCGCGGUUGGCCUUGGGAUUGAGGGGGGCCUCGGUGAGCAGGGUGUGGUGCCAGAUCUUCUCCAUGUCAUCCCAGUUGGUGAUGAUGCCGUGCUCGAUAGGGUACUUCAGGGUCAGGAUACCUCUCUUGCUCUGAGCCUCGUCGCCCACGUAGGAAUCUUUCUGACCCAUACCGACCAACUGCUACUCUCGGCUCGGGCCCUGGUCGCCGCGGAGGGGAAGCGAGGCUUCACUUGGCGCUGUCCGCUGCGGUGGCCGCUUGUCCCUCUGCUCAGGUUUUAUAUAGCCCGCGGGCAUUCCCUCCGCGCCACCCCGCAGGAAUGUCGCUGCCCUUCUCGAGCCAUAUUUGGGUGUUGGGCACUAGAGCCCCCUCCCUCGGCCGGUUCGCGGCCU
rnacentral:lncRNA from 1 species